rnacentral:rRNA from 1 species
AUCAGGUCCCAUAAAAGGUGUUGGUUGAUCUAGACAGCAGGACGGUGGCCAUGGAAGUCGGAAACCGCUAAGGAGUGUGUAACAACUCACCUGCCGAAUCAACUAGCCCUGAAAAUGGAUGGCACUGUAGCGUUUGGCGUAUACACUGCCGUUACUCACUCAUGUGCACAUUGUGCGCUAUGUGGUAACGAGUAGAAGGGUCGUGGCGGUGGCGUCGAAGGGUCGUACGAGAGUGCGCCUGGAGCCGCCGUCAGUGCAGAUCUUGGUGGUAGUAGCAAGUAUUCAAGUGAGAACCUCGAAGGCUGAAGUGGAGAAGGGUUCCAUGUGAACAGCAGUUGCACAUGGGUCAGUCGAUCCUAAGCUGCAGGGAAACCCCCGUUGGAAGGCUGUUUUCAAACCGACAGCCAAGUAGCGAAAGGGAAUCGCGUUAAUAUUCGCGAACCCGGUCACGGUGCUUGCCCUACUUGUAGGGCAGUGUGCGGCAACGCAAACGAACUCGGAGAUACAGGCGAGGGUCCCGGGAAGAGUUCUCUUUUCUUUUUAAGGGUCGAACUCCCUGGAAUCGGUUUAUCCGGAGAUAGGGAUGUUGUGCCCGAAAAACUGCACGGCUCCUGUGCGGUCCGGUGUGCUCUCGUCUGUCCUUGAAAAUCCGAGCUAGACUAUCAACACCGUGCCGGAUCGUACCCAUAUCCGCAG